rnacentral:rRNA from 1 species
AGAGUUUGAUCCUGGCUCAGGAUGAACGCUGGCGGCGUGCCUAAUACAUGCAAGUCGAGCGAACCACUUCGGUGGUGAGCGGCGAACGGGUGAGUAACACGUAGGUGAUCUGCCCAUCAGACGGGGACAACGAUUGGAAACGAUCGCUAAUACCGGAUAGGACGAAAGUUUAAAGGUGCUUCUGGCACCGCUGAUGGAUGAGCCUGCGGCGCAUUAGCUAGUUGGUAGGGUAAAGGCCUACCAAGGCGACGAUGCGUAGCCGACCUGAGAGGGUGAACGGCCACACUGGGACUGAGACACGGCCCAGACUCCUACGGGAGGCAGCAGUAGGGAAUCUUCGGCAAUGGGCGAAAGCCUGACCGAGCAACGCCGCGUGAAUGAUGAAGGCCUUCGGGUUGUAAAAUUCUGUUAUAAGGGAAGAACGACUUUAGUAGGAAAUGGCUAAAGUGUGACGGUACCUUAUGAGAAAGCCACGGCUAACUACGUGCCAGCAGCCGCGGUAAUACGUAGGUGGCAAGCGUUAUCCGGAAUUAUUGGGCGUAAAGAGCGCGCAGGUGGUUGAUUAAGUCUGAUGUGAAAGCCCACGGCUUAACCGUGGAGGGUCAUUGGAAACUGGUCGACUUGAGUGCAGAAGAGGGAAGUGGAAUUCCAUGUGUAGCGGUGAAAUGCGUAGAGAUAUGGAGGAACACCAGUGGCGAAGGCGGCUUCCUGGUCUGUAACUGACACUGAGGCGCGAAAGCGUGGGGAGCAAACAGGAUUAGAUACCCUGGUAGUCCACGCCGUAAACGAUGAGUGCUAAGUGUUGGGGGUCGAACCUCAGUGCUGAAGUUAACGCAUUAAGCACUCCGCCUGGGGAGUACGGUCGCAAGACUGAAACUCAAAGGAAUUGACGGGGACCCGC